UACGAAGGGGGGCUAGCGUUGUUCGGAAUUACUGGGCGUAAAGCGCACGUAGGCGGAUAUUUAAGUCAGGGGUGAAAUCCCGGGGGCUCAACCCCGGAACUGCCUUUGAUACUGGGUAUCUCGAGUCCGAGAGAGGUGAGUGGAAUUCCCGAGUGUAGAGGUGAAAUUCGUAGAUAUUCGGAGGAACACCAGUGGCGAAGGCGGCUCACUGGCUCGGUACUGACGCUGAGGUGCGAAAGCGUGGGGAGCAAACAGG
rnacentral:rRNA from 1 species